GACAGAGGCCCCGAGCGUUAGGCGGAAUCACUGGGCUUAAAGCGUGUGUAGGCGGACCCCUAAGUGUCUUGUGAAAUCCCACGGCUCACCCGUGGAACCGCUGGGCAUACUGGGGGUCUCGGGCCGUUCAGGGGCGACUGGAACAAGCGGUGGAGCGGCGAAAUGCGUAGAUAUCGCUUGGAACACCGAAGGUGAAAACAGGUCGCUGGGGACGCGCCGACGCUGAGACACGAAAGCCAGGGGAGCAAACGGG
rnacentral:rRNA from 1 species